rnacentral:rRNA from 1 species
UACGAAGGGGGCUAGCGUUGCUCGGAAUCACUGGGCGUAAAGCGCACGUAGGCGGAUUGCUAAGUCAGGGGUGAAAUCCUGGAGCUCAACUCCAGAACUGCCCUUGAUACUGGCGACCUUGAGUCCGGGAGAGGUGAGUGGAACUGCGAGUGUAGAGGUGAAAUUCGUAGAUAUUCGCAAGAACACCAGUGGCGAAAGGCGGCUCACUGGCCCGGUACUGACGCUGAGGUGCGAAAGCGUGGGGAGCAAACAGG